GGUCUUGACAUCCGAUGCUAUUCUAGAGAUAGAAAGUUACUUCGGUACAUCGGUGACAGGUGGUGCAUGGUUGUCGUCAGCUCGUGUCGUGAGAUGUUGGGUUAAGUCCCGCAACGAGCGCAACCCCUAUUGUUAGUUGCCAUCAUUCAGUUGGGCACUCUAGCGAGACUGCCGGUAAUAAACCGGAGGAAGGUGGGAUGACGUCAAAUCAUCAUGCCCCUUAUGACCUGGGCUACACACGUGCUACAAUGGUUGGUACAACGAGUUGCGAGUCGGUGACGGCGAGCUAAUCUCUUAAAGCCAAUCUCAGUUCGGAUUGUAGGCUGCAACUCGCCUACAUGAAGUCGGAAUCGCUAGUAAUCGCGGAUCAGCACGCCCGCGGUCGAAUACGUUCCCGGGCCUU
rnacentral:rRNA from 1 species